GUUAGGGCAAACAGGAAGGCAACUUCUGCUCUGAGAGUGGUAAAGCCAGUGGUGACUGACAGGGAAGAGGAGCCAAGAACCGCUGGACCCAGCUCUCCUUUAGCUGAAGCACCUGAGUCUGCAACAGCUUCACCUGACAGCCCUAAUAGGUUAGGGUACACCCCUCUAUUUUAACUUGCUCUUCCAUUAGAGAUGCAAAAGUGCAUGGAAGCAGCAGUGAAUUCCAGCCCACAGCACUCUGAUGGGACACAUGGACGAAAAGCAUCAUCACCGAGGACGCAAGCACUGCUAGGAAGUCAUUUUCAGAGAAGUCCCCAGAACUGUUGAA